UGACAACCCCCCAUCCAGAGGAGAGUGAAAUUGCUCUCUACGAUUUGGACAGGUCAUGAAAAGCUAUCUCUAGAAAUUUUUGAAACCUUAUAUUUCAUUUCAAAAAUGAGUGCGAUUUUGCAUUUCUACCGCAAAAUAUAUCUCAGCCACAUACCGUUGGACCUAAUGUGACCAGCUGGCCCCAGGUGUGUCCAGACACACAACUUUGGACAUAUUAGGAGAAAUGAUCAGACUUCAGAAGGCCAAACCCAGCCCCUCCUGCUCUUGUGGCCGUGUCUCUUCCAGGUUUCUUGCCCUCUGUUUUUCUGGAACCCUGAGGGAUUUUACACAUGUUCCCUAAUGCUCCAUUCUCACAAGCCCGGGGUCCUCUCACCCCCUCUCACCCCUAAGUUUGUCCCUAAGUUCACUGAGUCAACAGCCUCGCAUGGGGGCAGGGUCCAGACAGCACCUCUUUCUCUUCCUGCAUUUCUUCAGGAGCCAGAAAGGGAUGGGGGUGUCUCUCCUAAAUUGUAUCAAUGUCUGGCAGCUCCGUAAGCCCUGUGUUCUGUCAUCUCAGGUCACUCUGCUGGCCUUGGGCCCCUCUCUGUCCUGCUGACCAUUCUGGUCUGGGCCCUGGGGAAAGGGCUUUCCUUUGUUGUGUCACAGAAGAGCUCCCAGCAGAGCGCAGCUUUCGCGUCUCUCCUGCAUAUCUCGGCCCUCUGCUUCCAGCAGGCAGGCUCUCCCGGACUCAGGGACUCCAUGGUCCUCCACAGCCUGGCUGUCGUCAGGGUCUCCGCUCUUUAGGCCUUCUACUCGUCUGGGGUUCACAGGGGCCCGCUGAAAGCUCGGCUUUCUUGUUAGUCACCACCCUGAGGAGCAGACUGCCCUGGGAACCCACUCCUCCUCCCCGUCCUUCAUCACUGUGCCUGUGUUCAGAGGGACGCCAAGAAGGAGUGGAUGGAGCUUAACCUGGGAUAGUGAGGGACCACUUCAUGUAUAUGAGAGCCAACAACUUAAAGACCAGGAGUCAAGAGCAUUGCUGGCUGGAGACAAGAGAUGGCGCUGUGAGCCCAACGGAAAGAGAAGGCGUGAUUAUUAUAUGUCAGCUAGGUUAGCCCGAUUUAUCUGCAGGAGAGGUUUCACGACCAGCAGCUACAACCAUGGUGACCACUGAAACACACUGUUACAUUCUCUUGGGCUUGGACUAUUUGGAGAACCAACGAUUAUUUUAGCAAGGGAAAAUGGAGCACCAUCUUCCUUCUGGAGAAUCUUUGAUGGCAUAGGUGGGACACCUGCUGUACAGCCAACAAAUCCAAAAGUCUCUCCGUGAACAAGGGAAAUUAACAACAACGUCUGCCACCGCAUUGGCUGUGAGCACUUGAAAUCUUGGCUGGUGAUUUGCUGCAAUAAGUGCAGGCCUGGGAAAAGGCUGGCACUACCAGCUAGCUUUGACAACCUGCCAGCAGCCUCCCUGCUUUGGAAAUUGUAUGACUCUGUGAAUGCUGUCUAACCGUCUGAGCCAUAGUAUGAACAUGUACUGAUGAGUACUGAAGCACGGCGGAAUCUUUACCGAAUUCAGUAUUGCCAAGACGAAAAAGGGCUACACGUUGGAGACAUUUACAUAAGAAUCUCGUUUUAUUCAAGCUCAGCAGAGCAGUCCGGGUGGAAAAAAGGAGAGCCAGACCUUGGCAGUGGCUCUGUUUACACUGUGUGCUCGAUGUCUAACUCAAAGCCUGUACAGAGGACACUCAGGAAAAAUGUGUGGAAUGACCGAAUUAAUUAGGAAUCAGAGAGGAAAAAAUUCAAAUGUUUCUCUCCAAGAACAGGCUGACCACAAGCGGGAAACACACCUACAAGAUAUCCAUCACAGCUGACAGAAGAAUGGAACAGUGAAAGGUCCUGGAGUCCAUCAUGCCUGAAGGAAAUUCCCUCCUUACUGCCCAUUUUCCCUAUGAAACUGCCUCAAGAUUCUGUAAUUUUUGAAGACAGUUUUUUUUGAGACAGUCUGCCAUCUUCUCGAUUACGCCAGCUAAUCGAAUUAAAA
ensembl:lncRNA